GUUAUUAUUAUUUUCGUGGAUAUUAUUUCUGGGCGGGAUUAUUAUUUUUUUCCAACAUUUAUGAGCCACAAUAUUGCAAACUAAAGAUUGACUGCCCGGCUUAACAAGAGCAAAAUACAGUAGCUAAUAAGAGUGAGUAAGUAGAACAGAAUCAGAAUGAAUAUACAAGUGAGAGAACCACAUGUAGUUAUAGCCUAAGCCUAACGUUCACAUCUCUAGUUCCACUCUUACACGUUGCUCUGGGUGGUUCUUAGUGGCUGAUAUACUCGCCGGUUAUGGGAUAAACGUCAGGCAUAGUGAAUAUGAGUGGAUCAUGAAUAAUUUGGAGGCAGUUGAAGACCAAGCAAAACUUCAAACUAUAGCUUUAUCAAUGGAUCCCUACAGUCAUCUUUGGAGUGCUUUUAUCGAGCACUGCUCUUAUCUCCCCAGAAAGGAGCUGCCAGAUCAAAGAUAAUUCUCGUGAUGGCAAACAUCCUAUGUUCGUUCAUCCCCGCGGCAAAACUUAUCCCAAGCAACAUGGUGUCUCCAUGUGAACUAUCCACGUGUCAAGGUAAGAUUUUACUAAUACAGAUAGUCCUUUCAUUUUUCGAAUAAUUCUCGAGAAUUAUCGAAGAGUAGUAUGAUCUUUGGCGCGUUCCAAAAGAACUUUUUAGGCAGAAUUUACCACGCAACUGUCAUCAUUUUAAAUCUGAAAGGAUGUCCAAUCACAUUCAUUUAAAUCUUCGGAUAUGUGGCGGUCUUCAACGGGUUUUGACACCACAGAAAUUAUCAAGGUCAUGAUGACCUUGCCUGUAAGACUCGAUCCUUUCCUCUCUUCUUACUACUUGAACAUCUUAUUUGAAAUUUUUCCUGCAACUUCACUGUUGUUUCUAAGAAACCUUCAACUUUUUCAUUUCUCAUUUUUUUCUUCUCUUUUUAUCACCAUUUCUAAUGGCUUUCAAGGUACUUAGUCUGAGCUCAUGAAGUGACAUUAAUCGUCAAGAGCACAACCAUUGCUUCUCUACCGGCGAUCACUGCAGGUGUGAAGGAGAUGAUGGUGAAAGAGUCGUUCACACUUACUAGGAAAGGCAGGGCAACCAAAUCUACCACGAUGGUAAAAGAGGGGUCACCAGCUCCGUCGACGAAGGUAGAUUUGUUCAGGCUGCCAGGCCCACAACGGAAUUGGUUCCAGUCCCUGCCAAGAAAGGGAAAGGCCGACAUAACCUCUGACAAAGGAAAGAAAAAGCACAACGAGCUAAAACUUGUAGAGGUUCUCCCGUAGACAAUCAAUUUCAUUAGUCCAUGUGUUCCUUGGAGCAGUGCUCCAAAAAAAGCUUUACUGGAAAAACACCUUCAGCCAAUCCUGAAAGACUGUGCCUGGGAACGUAAGGUUCAGAUUUUCCUGCCUGAAGAAAAUGAGAACAUAAUCACACAUCGAGAGGGUUCCUCAUUUGUAUUUACUUACCUGUUCACCCUCGGUUUUAAGCUGGCUAUCGAUCCGAUGGUGAAGCAUUCUUUUUCAAGGCAUACAAUAUUUGCCUAGGUCAACUUGGACCAGAUGUGUAGUGAUCAGUGGCAUGCUUGAAGUUCCUUGAUAAAAAGGCACGAGAAAACUUUACUCUCAAGCAUCUCAUGUAAAUUUACUGCCCCAAGCUUUAUAAGGGGUCGAUGAUAAUGUUGGUGAAUCGGGGUACCUACACCCUUAUUGCCAAUGUAGAGGAAAAUUUCGACUGUAUAUGAUAUGAGAGGUUCGUUAGAGUACCAACCCAAAUAUUUCAAGCAAAAAUGACCUCCCCUUUCUGGAGAAGUGGAAUUUCAAAUAGGAGUGGGUCGAAAUUUUUUUGAAGUCGAUGAAGAUACAAGUGAGAACGUGGAAAGUGAUCUCUGCCAUCAAAAGAUGAGAGUUUAAAAAUUAUGGCGCCGGAUCUAGGAGAUCAUCAUCAACUUGGAUCGAGGUCAUUGAUCUUGUCCAACAGUCAUCCUUGCCGAAGAGAAAAUCCAGCAAAGAAGGGCGUUCUGCUCCUAAACCAAAUAAGCAGACGAAGAGCUUUAAAAGGGGACUCAAGAGAAAGAGGGGGGAGACAAUCCUCGGGUCUUGUCUUCAGUAACUCUUUCCCGGCUCGGGGAUGAUCCCAUGCAGAUGAACUUAUCCUUCCUCUUGCUACUCCUACCAUUCUCAUCAAGAAUAAUGACAAGCCAAAAUCACCCCCAAAGCGGAGACCCGACAAAGAAAAAAAGAUGUCGGAUGGAAAACUACGACACUCCUGUUCGAGGGAUUAGGUGAGUCAAGUGAGGUCCUUCUAGAGGGGCCUAAACUUAGUUCCGUCGGGUCUGAGGUAGAUUCAUACUUUAGUUCUUGUCCUAAGAUAUCCCUAUGCUCCGAACCCAAAGAUUUUACUAUUCCAAAGAGGCAAGUGCUGGUAGAAAUACCUUUGUAUGUGAACAUUUUUUGUAGGCCCAAGAAGAUUAUUCCAUAGUUCAAAGGUUUUAUUGGGUCUUUGGAAUAAGAAUUCAUGGUUAGGGAUUCGAUAAAAGCCCUAGAAAAUUAUGUAAUAUAAUCUGGUUUGAAAGUGAAGUUCCAAACAUCUCUUUUUUUGCCGAUUCAUGUUAUUUUCUCAUUUUUCCAAUGGCCUAUUUUUAGCUCAACCUGACAGCAGCAGAACUGUAUGCAAGAAUUGCAAAAAGUGAUGCUAUCUGGCGUGAGCAAGAAAAAGAGAUCUAGAGGUUGACAAAAACCCUAGCCAAGAGGGAUUCAAAGAAGGAAGCUAUGUCCGUAGAGAUCAAAUAAGCUUUCAAAAAUAUCCGCUAACUAGAGCGGGAGAAUGAGGCUCAAGAGUUAGAGUUUUCAUAGAAAUUCAGAGAGCUGGAUCAGAAAGUGUAGGAUCUUGAAGUCAUUAUCUAGAAGUUUGAGGACCAAUAUAUUAGUCUGGUUGAAGAACGGAGCAAGGCUAUCUCCAAGAGGAAGGCCCUGGAGAAUUGGUGCUGGGGCUGUCCAAUGAGGUAAACGAGCUAAAAGGGGCUCUAAAAAUAUUUGAUAUGGAGAGGAACAAAUUCUAAUCCCAGCGAGUCGAUGUUUCCUAGAAGUUGAAGACGACUAGAGAUGAGGCAGAAGAGGAUAAAAAGUAUGCCUACUCGUUGGCUCAUCAAAAAGUCCUCUAUAAGAUUCGUUCUAAGUCCUUGGAUGAGGAGAUUUUUAAGGUGGAUGACAUUAUUGAGAGGACGAGGCCCACGAGUUCCUCUGCUUCUGAUGACUCCGAAGGGUCCGAUAAUGAAGACGAAAAAGAAAAUAAAGACGCGACCUUAUUCAACUCGCUGAGUCCCCUGGAACGAGGGUAAUGAAGCAAAUCCUUCACCUCUAGUUCUCUCAGUUGCACCUUCUUCAUCUCUUUCUUCUCUUCCUCUCAAGCACCUUUUCCGAGAUCAAGAGACCUAUGAAGGUCUUUUUUGUAAUGUAUUUUCAUUUUAUAUGUAUUAUGGGCAUUUUGAGCUUUUGGUAAUAAAUGACCUGUUUAAUUGUA